rnacentral:misc_RNA from 1 species
UUAACCCUCACUCCCAUUUAGGUGGGAAUGGAUUUGGAGUGCUUAAGACUUGUGCUUAAUACUCUUUAACUGAACUUUCGCCUUUUGCUGCAUUAGUAGCUCAAGUUAACUGGAAGGCAUGACCAAUGAACUGCAAAGUUCUUUGAUUGCUGAUAAAGGUUAAUGGAAACUGCUGUUGUAACAAGUAUGGGUAGAAACUCUUUAUAAACACGAGUCUUCGGACUUAAG